CCCUUAGAUGUUCUGGGCCGCACGCGCGCUACAAUGAAAAAUUCAACAAGUUUUCCUGCUUUGAAGAAAGUGGGUAAUCAUUGCAAUCUUUUUCGUGCUAGGGAUAGACCUUUGUAAUUGUUGGUCUUGAACGAGGAAUUCCUAGUAAGUGCAAGUCAUUAACCUGUACUGAUUACGUCCCUGCCCUUUGUACACACCGCCCGUCGCACCUACCGAUUGAAUGGUCCGAUGAAAUCUUUGGACUGAGUCGCCAAGCGAUUCGGAAAAUCGAUUAAGUCUUACCAUUUAGAGGAAGGUGAAGUCGUAACA
rnacentral:rRNA from 1 species